CAGACUCAGUACACUCUCAGUUGUUCUGGAGACGGAGGUGCACUUAAUAGCCUGCUGGGGUGCGGACCUGAUAAGCAGACCUGUCUACAAGACAGCUAGCUUUCACGGAUCUGUCGUCCGCUAGAGUUGUUUGGGUAAUGUAAUGAGAUUCCAGAAUCCCAAGCGUCGGUUAAGAAGCCAAUGACGCGUUUAUUGCACGAGCCUAGGGUGACAGCUUCUGGUUGAGCGUUUGAACUUACAUUUGUUGUCGGCGGCGAAUUCACGUUUGCCCGAGCCAAGUGUCAGUAAGUCCGUGAUAUGAGACCGGUAUAAGCCAGGGAAAUUGAGCCGCAGCCACCGACAGAGUGGCUAAAGGAUGAGAUCCCUUUUGAGAGACUGAUACACACGCGCAUUGACAGGGUGGAACUCCUUGUGAAGUCUCAUAGGGUGGAACUUCUAUGUGAGAGGUGAAGAGCCAAGCUGAAAUGCUAGGGCUGUUACGCCAGUCACCAGAGCAGAAAUUCCAGAAUCAGAACGAAGGCCAUAACCGCCAAAGAGCAUAGCUUAGUCCGAGGAGCAGUAAGAAGUCGCAGACGAGAGCAAAGUGCAAUGAGUGCCAAACGCGUCAUACGUCAAUAAGUCCGAUGAAAAAUCAGAACGUACGCCCAAAGAGAACCGCCAGAGCCAGUACCAAAGCCACGGGCAAGAGUCGGUAAGUCUUUCAAGGCAGUGCUAAACAUCGUGAGAGCGCCAGAAUGGUCAAAGGGCCCAUAAGAACUUCAAGUCAAUCAGGGCCAGUUUCGCUAUUCAAGAGUAGGCAGUGAACCCCUACUGAAGAUGUUACUGGCUGGACCUCUUACCGAGGAUGUAUAAUGGUUGAGCCUGUUUAUCUAGUUUUUCAGAAGAAUAUGUGAAAUUCUGAACCUCUCGGGUUAAUAAAUCAUGGACCAAAGAAUCCCA
rnacentral:misc_RNA from 1 species